UGAGUAAUGUCUGGGAAACUGCCCGAUGGAGGGGGAUAACUACUGGAAACGGUAGCUAAUACCGCAUAACGUCUUCGGACCAAAGUGGGGGACCUUCGGGCCUCACACCAUCGGAUGUGCCCAGAUGGGAUUAGCUAGUAGGUGGGGUAAUGGCUCACCUAGGCGACGAUCCCUAGCUGGUCUGAGAGGAUGACCAGCCACACUGGAACUGAGACACGGUCCAGACUCCUACGGGAGGCAGCAGUGGGGAAUAUUGCACAAUGGGCGCAAGCCUGAUGCAGCCAUGCCGCGUGUAUGAAGAAGGCCUUCGGGUUGUAAAGUACUUUCAGUGGGGAGGAAGGCGUUAAGGUUAAUAACCUUGGCGAUUGACGUUACCCGCAGAAGGAGCACCGGCUAACUCCGUGCCAGCAGCCGCGGUAAUACGGAGGGUGCAAGCGUUAAUCGGAAUUACUGGGCGUAAAGCGCACGCAGGCGGUCUGUCAAGUCGGAUGUGAAAUCCCCGGG
rnacentral:rRNA from 1 species